rnacentral:rRNA from 1 species
GACGAACGCUGGCGGCGUGCUUAACACAUGCCAGUCGAACGGAAAGGCCCCUUUGGGGGUCCUCGAGUGGCGAACGGGUGAGUAACACGUGAGUAACCUGCCCUUGACUUCGGGAUAACUUCAGGAAACUGGGGCUAAUACCGGAUAGGAAUCCUUGCUGCAUGGUGGGGGUUGGAAAGCUUCGGCGGUUUUGGAUGGACUCGCGGCUUAUCAGCUUGUUGGUGGGGUAGUGGCUUACCAAGGCUUUGACGGGUAGCCGGCCUGAGAGGGCGACCGGCCACAUUGGGACUGAGAUACGGCCCAGACUCCUACGGGAGGCAGCAGUGGGGAAUAUUGCACAAUGGGCGGAAGCCGGAUGCAGCAACGCCGCGGGCGGGAGGACGGCCUUCGGGUUGUAAACCGCGUUCAGCAGGGGCGAAGCUUGUGGUGACGGUACCUGCAGAAGAAGCACCGGCUAACUACGUG